rfam:Candidatus Wildermuthbacteria bacterium RIFCSPLOWO2_01_FTLL_48_29 rifcsplowo2_01_scaffold_4537, whole genome shotgun sequence.
GGGCGGUUAGCUCAGUUGGUUAGAGCGACUCGUUUACACCGAGUAGGUCGGGGGUCCGAGUCCUCCACCGCCCA